AAGCACGAAGGGACAGAUUUCUUUACGUCAUCAUUAUGUGUGUGUGUAAUAUGUUUAGACAAAAGCAACCCCAAAUUCACAAUUUAGAGAAACAAGACUUUGUUAAAUUUUGUGCUGUGCCUAAGGCAGCAAAUACCAAUAUGUGUAAAUUAAAAUUAGAUGCAGUAAUAGGGAUUGGCUCAUCCAACAGUAACAGAAAGGAUUAUUCAAGCUUGACUAUGUGCUAAAUAGCAUUUUUUUCAUUUUUCUUUUUCCCAUAAAUAGGUGUUAUGAAUGGUUAUAGCUGAACACACAACAUAAGCCUUUUUAAAAUUCAGCAAUGUAUGAUUAUUAAUUUUCCAUAUCAUUGAAUAUACUUUCACACUGCAGUUCUUAAAGAUUGAAAAGUAUUUUAUCAUUUCAUUUUACUCAGUAAAUUCCUUGUAAUGUUAGACACUUAUGUUAGUUCCAAUUUUUCACUCACAAAUAAUGCUUCAGUGAUAUACUUCCAUCUUUCUCACUUUUCUGGUCAUUUCCUUAGGAGAAAUUCCUGGGUGUAAAGUGGCUGGAUCAUACAUUUAAGAUCAUAAGAUCUUAAAUGCUGUGUGUGCUGCCGGGGCUGUCAUAACAAAAUAUUAUGCACCAAAUAAAACAAUGCACCAAAAGCACAUGUUCCAAGGAGUAGUCAUAUUGAGCAUUUGUCUCCUAGCAUCCAUCAGGUUACAAGUCAAUUGCUCCCAGAAUUCCUACUGGUCAGAUACUCUGUAUUUUCUGUGCCUUGUUGAGGAUCCCUCAAAUUAUCAUAUUCCUGAAUUUUGUGAGCAAGGCAGUGUCACCACCAUUUUCAGGACUUUGGAAAUACCUUCAGAAUAUGGGAAUGGAAGAGAUUUUGAAAUGUCUCUGAACAAAACACAAUUAGUUUAUAAAUUGAUGUCCAGAACUUCCAGAUGACGAUUGUUCCUCCUACCUUUUUGGACUCAGCCAGUGGGACCCAGAGCUUGAGAAACAAGUAAAAAUUUACAGACUCUUCUUCUUCUGGACUUCUCAUUUUCAUCCUGCUACCACUAUUAACUUUCGUGCAUACAGUGGGCUGGACUUAUAAGAAAGGAUUAUAUUUUGCAUUGACCUUAAGCAUCAUUGGGUUUGGUGACUAUGUAUUAGGUAGGUCAACUGAUAUUAAUCAUAGAAUUUUAUUAU
rnacentral:lncRNA from 1 species